rnacentral:rRNA from 1 species
AACGCGAAGAACCUUACCUGGGUUUGACAUCCCCGGCUAGUUCCAGAGAUGGAAUGUUCCCUUCGGGGACCGGGAGACAGGUGCUGCAUGGCUGUCGUCAGCUCGUAUCGUGAGAUGUCGGGUUAAGUCCCUUAACGAGCGCAACCCUUGUCCUUAGUUGCCACCAUUUAGUUGGGCACUCUAGGGAGACUGCCGGUGUUAAACCGGAGGAAGGUGGGGAUGACGUCAAGUCCUCAUGGCCUUUAUAUCCAGGGCUACACACGUGCUACAAUGGCCGGUACAAAGGGUCGCCAACCCGCGAGGGGGAGCUAAUCCCAGAAAGCCGGUCUCAGUUCGAAUUGAAGUCUGCAACUCGACUUCAUGAAGCUGGAAUCGCUAGUAAUCGCGGAUCAGAACGCCGCGGUGAAUACGUUCCCGGGCCUUGUACACACCGACGCAC